UACGUAGGGGGCAAGCGUUGUCCGGAAUUAUUGGGCGUAAAGAGCGCGUCGGCGGUCCGAUAAGUCGGCUGUGAAAGUCAGGGGCUCAACCCUUGGAAGCCGGCCGAUACUGUCGGACUAGAGUCCGGAAGAGGCAAGUGGAAUUCCCGGUGUAGCGGUGAAAUGCGCAGAUAUCGGGAGGAACACCAAUGGCGAAGGCAGCUUGCUGGGACGGUACUGACGCUGAGGCGCGAAAGCGUGGGGAGCAAACAGG
rnacentral:rRNA from 1 species